CAAAGGAUAGUUUAUAUAAAAUUUUAGUUUUGGAAACUAAAGAAAAAAGUUGCUUUUUCCUUUGA
rnacentral:tRNA from 1 species